rnacentral:misc_RNA from 1 species
AAGGAUCAUUCGUGGUUACUUCUGAUGAGGGAGAUUUUCGUUUCUGUGGGCUUGCGGGGGGUAAUGCUCUCACAGCGCAUGGGGAUGGGUUUCUCUGCUUGUCAAAACCUAUUGGAGGGAAGGGGGGGCUUGGGGGAGGCUGGUUUUUUCCGGCCUCUUCUCCCCUUUUUCCUCAUCUGUGAACUGUUGGAUGAGUAUGUUUGGGUUGCCCCCUUUCUUCCAAAAGAAAAGGGGGGCGAACCAGGGGUGUUCUCCAAAUUUAAAACCUAACGUUUUGUGAACCUCAAGUCGUGAACAAACCAUGACGAAAGAAACACAACUCUUAGCAACGGAUCUCUUGGCUCUC